rnacentral:lncRNA from 1 species
CGUCGCUGGGGCACCGAGAGAAGGUGGUGGCCGAGUGGCCCGAGGACGAGACGGCCUCGAGGCCUAGUCGUGCAGUUGGGACUCCCCGGAGGCCCUUGCGCCCUCCUACUCCGAGCCUGCGCGGCGACUUCUGGAGUGGGUGCUGCGGGCCUCGCCGUCGCAGUCCCGAGGCAUCUGUCGGGACCGCCCGAGCGUCGAACGACCGUCGGAGCCUGGCCGCACUCCGGGACUCUGCGGCCAGCGCUGCAACAUGGGUUAUUGGCAGUCAUUCGACAUAGGAAGAGUGUUGAAGUGAGCCAGCACAGUGGGUAACACAGCAUCGAGGAACAAACAGAUGAAGGACUCAGGAAUUUAACCUGCCAGAAUCUUGAGCCUCAGAGGUUAGGACAUCUAAGCGUAGGCUUUCAAACCCUGUCUGCAAUGGGUUAUUGACAGGAAAAACUUGGUUGUGAAAUGUCAGCUUCCUAAGAUCAGUGUUGGACAAGAUGGAAGAAAAAGAACUGGAAUGUCCGAACUCUUCCUCUGAAAGACGCCAUUUUCCUAAAUCCCUUGAUUCCAGUGAUGGGGUUGUGGAAGAGUUCCUGUCAUGUGAGGAUUUGGAACUGAACCCUUUUGAUGAAUUGCCGUAUUCAUCACGUUACUAUAAACUUCUGAAAGAAAGAGAAAACCUUCCAAUAUGGAAAGAAAAAUACUCCUUUAUGGAGAAUCUUCUUCAAAAUCAAAUUGUGAUUGUCUCAGGAGAUGCUAAAUGUGGCAAGAGUGCUUAGGUCCCUCAGUGGUGUGCUGAAUAUUGCCUCUCCAUCCACUACCAGCAUGGUGGUGUGAUAUGCACACAGGUGCACAAGCAGACUGUGGUCCAGCUCGCCCUGCGGGUAGCAGAUGAAAUGGACGUUAACACUGGUCAUGAAGUUGGCUAUGUGAUCCCUUUUGAAAACUGCUGUACCCGUAAAACAAUUUUGAGGUACUGUACUGACGAUAUGUUGCAAAGAGAAAUGAUGUCCAAUCCUUUUUUGGGUAGCUAUGGGGUCAUCAUCUUAGAUGAUAUUCAUGAAAGAAGCAUUCCAACAGAUGUGUUACUUGGACUUCUUAAAGAUGUUUUACUGGCAAGACCAGAACUGAUGCUCAUGAUUAACUCACCUCUCCUGAUCAGCAAACUCAGUUCUUAUUAUGGAAACGUGCCUCUCAUAGAAGUGAAAACUAAACACCCUGUGGAGGUUGUGUACCUUAGUGGGCUUCGAAAGGAUUCUUUCGAGUCUAUUUUACGCUUUAUCUUUGAAAUUCACCACUCCGGUGAGAAGGGUGACAUUGUAGUCUUUCUAGCCUGUGAACAAUAUCUUGUAUUAAAUGAUUCCACUAUCUAA